rnacentral:tRNA from 1 species
CAUUAGAUGACUGAAACGCAAGUAUUGGUCUCUUAAACCAUUUUAUAGUAGACUAGCUCCUACUUCUAAUG